GAUGAAGAACGCAGCGAAAUGCGAUAAGUAAUGUGAAUUGCAGAAUUCAGUGAAUCAUCGAAUCUUUGAACGCACAUUGCGCCCCCUGGUAUUCCGGGGGCAUGCCUGUCCGAGCGUCAUUACAACCCUCAAGCUCAGCUUGGUGUUGGGCCCCGCCGCCCCGGCGGGCCCUAAAGUCAGUGGCGGUGCCGUCCGGCUCCGAGCGUAGUAAUUCUUCUCGCUCUGGAGGUCCGGUCGUGUGCUCGCCAGCAACCCCCAAUUUUUUUCAGGUUGACCUCGGAUCAAGUAGGGAUACCCGCUGAACUUAAGCAUAUCAAUAAGCGGAGGA
rnacentral:misc_RNA from 1 species